rnacentral:rRNA from 1 species
UAGGGAAUCUUCGGCAAUGGACGAAAGUCUGACCGAGCAACGCCGCGCGAGUGAAGAAGGUUUUCGGAUCGUAAAACUCUGUUGUUAGAGAAGAACAAGGACGUUAGUAACUGAACGUCCCCUGACGGUAUCUAACCAGAAAGCCACGGCUAACUACGUGCCAGCAGCCGCGGUAAUACGUAGGUGGCAAGCGUUGUCCGGAUUUAUUGGGCGUAAAGCGAGCGCAGGCGGUUUCUUAAGUCUGAUGUGAAAGCCCCCGGCUCAACCGGGGAGGGUCAUUUGAAACUGGGAGACUUGAGUGCAGAAGAGGAGAGUGGAAUUCCAUGUGUGGCGGUGAAAUGCGUGGAUAUAUGGAGGAACACCAGUGGCGAAGGCGGCUCUCUGGUCUGUAACUGACGCUGAGGCUCGAAAGCGUGGGGAGCAAACAGG